GGUUAACCGAAUAGGGGAGCCGAAGGGAAACCGAGUCUUAACUGGGCGUUAAGUUGCAGGGUAUAGACCCGAAACCCGGUGAUCUAGCCAUGGGCAGGUUGAAGGUUGGGUAACACUAACUGGAGGACCGAACCGACUAAUGUUGAAAAAUUAGCGGAUGACUUGUGGCUGGGGGUGAAAGGCCAAUCAAACCGGGAGAUAGCUGGUUCUCCCCGAAAGCUAUUUAGGUAGCGCCUCGUGAAUUCAUCUCCGGGGGUAGAGCACUGUUUCGGCAAGGGGGUCAUCCCGACUUACCAACCCGAUGCAAACUGCGAAUACCGGAGAAUGUUAUCACGGGAGACACACGGCGGGUGCUAACGUCCGUCGUGAAGAGGGAAACAACCCAGACCGCCAGCUAAGGUCCCAAAGUCAUGGUUAAGUGGGAAACGAUGUGGGAAGGCCCAGACAGCCAGGAUGUUGGCUUAGAAGCAGCCAUCAUUUAAAGAAAGCGUAAUAGCUCACUGGUCGAGUCGGCCUGCGCGGAAGAUGUAACGGGGCUAAACCAUGCACCGAAGCUGCGGCAGCGACGCUGAUGCGUUGUUGGGUAGGGGAGCGUUCUGUAAGCCUGUGAAGGUGCGCUGUGAGGCAUGCUGGAGGUAUCAGAAGUGCGAAUGCUGACAUAAGUAACGAUAAAGCGGGUGAAAAGCCCGCUCGCCGGAAGACCAAGGGUUCCUGUCCAACGUUAAUCGGGGCAGGGUGAGUCGACCCCUAAGGCGAGGCCGAAAGGCGUAGUCGAUGGGAAACAGGUUAAUAUUCCUGUACUUGGUGUUACUGCGAAGGGGGGACGGAGAAGGCUAUGUUGGCCGGGCGACGGUUGUCCCGGUUUAAGCGUGUAGGCUGGUUUUCCAGGCAAAUCCGGAAAAUCAAGGCUGAGGCGUGAUGACGAGGUACUACGGUGCUGAAGCAACAAAUGCCCUGCUUCCAGGAAAAGCCUCUAAGCAUCAGGUAACAUCAAAUCGUACCCCAAACCGACACAGGUGGUCAGGUAGAGAAUACCAAGGCGCUUGAGAGAACUCGGGUGAAGGAACUAGGCAAAAUGGUGCCGUAACUUCGGGAGAAGGCACGCUGAUAUGUAGGUGAAGUCCCUCGCGGAUGGAGCUGAAAUCAGUCGAAGAUACCAGCUGGCUGCAACUGUUUAUUAAAAACACAGCACUGUGCAAACACGAAAGUGGACGUAUACGGUGUGACGCCUGCCCGGUGCCGGAAGGUUAAUUGAUGGGGUCAGCGCAAGCGAAGCUCUUGAUCGAAGCCCCGGUAAACGGCGGCCGUAACUAUAACGGUCCUAAGGUAGCGAAAUUCCUUGUCGGGUAAGUUCCGACCUGCACGAAUGGCGUAAUGAUGGCCAGGCUGUCUCCACCCGAGACUCAGUGAAAUUGAACUCGCUGUGAAGAUGCAGUGUACCCGCGGCAAGACGGAAAGACCCCGUGAACCUUUACUAUAGCUUGACACUGAACAUUGAGCCUUGAUGUGUAGGAUAGGUGGGAGGCUUUGAAGUGUGGACGCCAGUCUGCAUGGAGCCGACCUUGAAAUACCACCCUUUAAUGUUUGAUGUUCUAACGUUGACCCGUAAUCCGGGUUGCGGACAGUGUCUGGUGGGUAGUUUGACUGGGGCGGUCUCCUCCUAAAGAGUAACGGAGGAGCACGAAGGUUGGCUAAUCCUGGUCGGACAUCAGGAGGUUAGUGCAAUGGCAUAAGCCAGCUUGACUGCGAGCGUGACGGCGCGAGCAGGUGCGAAAGCAGGUCAUAGUGAUCCGGUGGUUCUGAAUGGAAGGGCCAUCGCUCAACGGAUAAAAGGUACUCCGGGGAUAACAGGCUGAUACCGCCCAAGAGUUCAUAUCGACGGCGGUGUUUGGCACCUCGAUGUCGGCUCAUCACAUCCUGGGGCUGAAGUAGGUCCCAAGGGUAUGGCUGUUCGCCAUUUAAAGUGGUACGCGAGCUGGGUUUAGAACGUCGUGAGACAGUUCGGUCCCUAUCUGCCGUGGGCGCUGGAGAACUGAGGGGGGCUGCUCCUAGUACGAGAGGACCGGAGUGGACGCAUCACUGGUGUUCGGGUUGUCAUGCCAAUGGCACUGCCCGGUAGCUAAAUGCGGAAGAGAUAAGUGCUGAAAGCAUCUAAGCACGAAACUUGCCCCGAGAUGAGUUCUCCCUGACUCCUUGAGAGUCCUGAAGGAACGUUGAAGACGACGACGUUGAUAGGCCGGGUGUGUAAGCGCAGCGAUGCGUUGAGCUAACCGGUACUAAUGAACCGUGAGGCUUAACCUUACAACGCCGAAGGUGUUU
rnacentral:rRNA from 1 species